rnacentral:lncRNA from 1 species
UCCAAAGUUCUUCCACAUGGCAUCUGUAAGUUGUUGUUGUGUUACAGGAAGUAAGCAGUAACCAUAACCAAUACAACCCAUUUCAUCCAUUUAUUAGAAGUAACCAAUUGUAAACACUAAGUACCAUUUUAGGAUUCGACUCUUGGGAACAUCAACUGCCUUGAGCCAUACAACCUGAGAGAGGAAUCAUGUUAGCUCAGCUUCUGAAAUGCUCCCAAAAUCUCUCCCAUUGAAUUACUUUGGAUUGCCCCUCCAUGAUCACCAGUUAUGCAGGGCAGAGGGGGAACCUCUCAUUGACAAAAUCGAUCAGUGUCUUUGCAUCCUGGUAGGGCCAGCUCGUCUUCAGGUGGACCAUUAGUCUUAUUGCAAUCAGUCUUGGCAGCUAUUCCAACAUAUUACAUGUCCUUCUUCUGGCUUCCUGAUUGGGUGAUUCACUGCCUUGAUGCCAUUAGAAGAGAUUUCUCCUGACAUGGCUCGGAUGAUAAUCUUUCUUUGAUGCUAUUCCCACAUAUUACAUCAAAGAUUAUCUGGCAUCCCUUCCUUGUCCAUUCAGCAGGCGCCUAUGGUAGGUCUUUAAGUUCAACACCAUACCAUAGGUUGACCUGGUUCCAUGAGAUCACUCUGGACUGUUUGGAGACAGAAGCAGGUGCCAAAGGACACAUGGAGGUUUGGACAUUGUUGUCGUGGCUCUUUGUUGGCUGUGUGCAUAAAGAGGAACUCUUACAUUUGCUCAGGUAACCAGAGGUUACCGCAGGAUGUUCUCUUUUCUAGCAACUCCUAUAGCAGCCCAUGGACUACUUGAAUCUCUUCUCACUCAAGCUCUAAGACAGAGAUCAAGAGACUGCUACAUUUACCGGGCUUCCACAACAGUCAGCAGUCAACAUCCAAGGUUUAUCCAGGCUGACAUAUCUACAGCUGGAAGCUUUAGUUCAGAGCUUUUAUUUGCUUUCUUGUGAGAAUUCUCAGCCCACAAAGGGCUGCUUUUCCUGUGAGAAUGCAGUUGUUUUAGUUUUGGGAGGUCUCAUCCCCCCCUCUUCUCUCCCUUCUCUCCUGCCUUCCUUAUCUUGUAUAACUCUUCCUCCAUUGUCAAAUGAGUGUUGGCCCCUUUCAUCAUUUUGCUCAAUAAAAAGAAAAACUAUUUAGGACCAUCACUAAACAUUACUGGUCAAAAUAUGAGAACAGAGAAUAUGCUCUAUUCUGUUUUAUAGCCUGUAAAAACUCAGAAGUCUGAUGCCUGCCAGAUAUCCAUAACUCUCAAAGUACAUGAGAAAGAUAACACAUGCUCAUGAUACUUGCCAUAUAAAUGCGUAUAUGAUAACAGAUCCUAGUGUAUGAAUGUUUUCAUGCUGAUGCAGCUACCUUACCAUGAGGAGCAGAAAAGAUCUAUUCUUUAGCCUUUUCACGAAUGCUGUCAAUCUGCCACUCAUAUUAUUGUUGUGACUGUCUUUCCCUUGUACAGCUCUUACAUAAGGAAUUGGCAGGGCCCUGGUAUCUUUCAGUCCACCACAACUCUAGGCAUUUAAUGGUUGAUUUCCAGGCAGUCAAGCUUCAACUUACCUCCCAAGAAGCCAAUAUGAGUGCUGAUAAGGCUGCCAACUCAUGUGGAAGGCUGGGUGAAAACUUUAUCUGGCCUAGUUACUACACUGAUGUAGUUCAACAACAGUUAUAUUUUGAUGUAUCAGGUGCUUAUCUAGAGCAGUAUGCCACUAUGCCUCAUCAUAUCUGACACAAUUAUCUACAUUUUAUGUUCCUCCAAAAAUCAGUCUUCAAAACACACCACAUGUUCUGUUUAAUUCCACCAACCAUUUUAACAUCAAGUUCCCUCAUUUCAUCCUUCUUGUUGAUCCCAGAAUACAAAUUCAUAGGUGCUACUAUGCUGUGCAUCAUAGAUUCUUUCUGGUACAAUAUAUAAUGUCCACAACAAAUCUCCAAACUAACAUCAAAGUCUCCAAUACAAUGAAACAAGGUUCUGGUGGAAUUUUAUCCUGCAGAUUUGCUGAUGUAAUAACAUGGACUAAAUUGAUGAUAGAACAAACUAGAUGAUACAAAAUCCAACAAUAAUGGCAAUGCGCAAGGUAUAUAGAAUCUUUAAGGACAAUAAAAAAGUCGUUAAUAUUUCUUCAUAAACAAUGAUGAAAAAGCAGCAGCAGCAG